rnacentral:rRNA from 1 species
UACGGAGGAUGCGAGCGUUAUCCGGAUUUAUUGGGUUUAAAGGGUGCGCAGGCGGAUCGUUAAGUCAGCGGUGAAAUGUCCCGGCUCAACCGGGGCCCUGCCGUUGAUACUGGCGGACUUGAGUACGGACGGCGCCGGCGGAAUGUGCAGUGUAGCGGUGAAAUGCUUAGAUAUUGCACAGAACACCGAUCGCGAAGGCAGCUGGCGAGGCCGGAACUGACGCUCAGGCACGAAAGCGUGGGGAUCAAAC